rnacentral:rRNA from 1 species
AACGUAGGAGGCAAGCGUUAUCCGGAUUUAUUGGGCGUAAAGCGCCAGCAGGCGGUGUCCUAAGUUGGACGUGAAAUCUUCUGGCUCAACUGGAAGGGGCCGUUCAAUACUGGGACACUUGAGGGCAGGAGAGGGAAGUGGAAUUCCCGGUGUAGUGGUGGAAUGCGCAGAUAUCGGGAGGAACACCAGUGGCGAAGGCGGCUUCCUGGCCUGUUUCUGACGCUCAGUGGCGAAAGCUAGGGUAGCAAACGGGAUUAGAUACCCCCGUA